GGGAGUAUAGCUCAGCAUUAGAGUGUGUGCUUAGCAUGUGCGAUGUCCUGGGUUCAAUCCCCAGUACGUCCA
rnacentral:tRNA from 1 species